rnacentral:rRNA from 1 species
GAUGAACGCUGGCGGCGUGCCUAAUACAUGCAAGUCGAGCGAACAGACGAGGAGCUUGCUCCUCUGACGUUAGCGGCGGACGGGUGAGUAACACGUGGAUAACCUACCUAUAAGACUGGGAUAACUUCGGGAAACCGGAGCUAAUACCGGAUAAUAUAUUGAACCGCAUGGUUCAAUAGUGAAAGACGGUUUUGCUGUCACUUAUAGAUGGAUCCGCGCCGCAUUAGCUAGUUGGUAAGGUAACGGCUUACCAAGGCGACGAUGCGUAGCCGACCUGAGAGGGUGAUCGGCCACACUGGAACUGAGACACGGUCCAGACUCCUACGGGAGGCAGCAGUAGGGAAUCUGCCGCAAUGGGCGAAAGCCUGACGGAGCAACGCCGCGUGAGUGAUGAAGGUCUUCGGAUCGUAAAACUCUGUUAUUAGGGAAGAACAAAUGUGUAAGUAACUAUGCACGUCUUGACGGUACCUAAUCAGAAAGCCACGGCUAACUACGUG